rnacentral:lncRNA from 1 species
CUCGGCCUAGUGAUAAUUAUCGAUCGCAUUAUUUGGGGGCUUUUCCGUUAGUUUUUUUAUGAUCGUCGUUUUGGUAACGUAAUUGUUUAUGGAUAAAAUUAAAUUGACUACAAUAAAAAUAAAGAUACAAAUAAAGUGCGAAAAGUUACAAACCAGCUCCUUGAUUAAUUGGAGUUGACCUUCGUUAAUCUUCAUAAAAAUUUCAUGUUUUUUUUCCUCGAAUUUCUUCAACUUCAGAUCAACAGCCUACAUUUUAGUGUAUGUCAAAAGCAACCAAAAAAUUCGUAUCUCCUACUACCCCAGAUUGACCUACCUUAAUACGGGAAAUACGGUUUAAAUCUGGCAGCCGUCCACGCAUAUCAACCCUCCUACUACCCCAGAUUGACCUACCUUAAUACGGGAAAUACGGUUUAAAUCUGGCAGCCGUCCACGCAUAUCAACCCAACGAAGCAGGCUGAAGACAAUAAAGAAGAACGAAUUUCCUCUUUGGAUAUUUUCUUUAAAAUAUUGCUAAGAAAUACGAGUUUUAUCAGAAAAUCAGCCACUUUCUCCGCUGACCAAUUUGAGACAUCAAUAAUAAAAUUUAUAGUUGUCAUUAGCGGAGAAAAAAGAGACCUGUUCCAAGAUCAAAAUUUUAAUUUUACAAGCUCAUCAAGACACCAUUUAAAAUAUUUUUGAAACUUUACAUAAACUAUCAAAAUUAAGUUUACAAUUACCUUGAAUUAUAAACUUGAACACUUUGAUAAUCUUUUAAGAACUUACAUGUAUAUUUAAACGGAGAAAUCACAGUCGGAUGAGAUCAAGCACACAUGAACCUAAAACUCCAUACAACUCGAUCUCUAAUAACGGGAAUGAAUAAACGUAGGCCUGGAUCAAACUUCAUCCCACAUCUACUACAAACUGAUAUUCAAUUUAAGGAAUCAUUUACACUAGUAAUAAUAUGAAUAAAUAUACAAAACAAAGUAAUAUAGGGAGAAUCAUUGAUGUAACUUUGGACAGGGAGCCAAUAUGGAUGAAUAAUACACUGCCAGAUAAAGCAGUAGCUGCACCAUCACUUUCUUUUUUCUUCUUCAUGUAUAAGGGAGGGAGGCGGGCUGAGAUAAAGGAUAUGAAGCCCUAGCACACAUUUAUAUAAAGGAAAUAGAGUGACGUUUUACUCACUCCGUGCCCACAUAAAAAUUCUAGUUAAUUUUGUA